UUUUUUACUAUUUCUAUAUAAAUGUUGAACAGUUUAAACCUCUACAGACCCUCCACUCUUUCUGCACGCGCCAUGGUCCCACUUUGACACUAAAUUUAGACCAGGACACCUGAGAAGUCUCCCUCAAGGUCGCAAACUUCACCAGAGUGGGUUUCAAGAAACAAACCUUCUCAGCUUUGGCCAGGAAGAUCCACAGCUUCCUCCAGGUCGUGAACUUCUUCUUGUCGCUGAAGUUAUAGGCCAUUUCCUUGCUCGCGUAUCUGGACACCAGCGGAGAGCGGUACUUCAUGAACUCUUCGGCUCCCUCCAUGUUUGCUGGAAGACGCUGUUAAAGACGAAGGUUCCACCGGGGAGCUGCUACUAAGACACACAGAAGCCGCCGUCCAGUCCGGGCAUCACAUGGACCUCAAGAUUUGAUGUUUUUACGGCAUACGAAGUUCGCAUACGGCCAAUGAUCUCGUUGCGACACCACUGAGCAUACGUCAACGUCGCUUACAUCUUCCGUCUCUUGGGAGCAUGCCAUUACCAAGAUGGCAGACUCGUCUACCGUUCCCCGAGAGGUCGCAUUGCGACAGUCUCAACGUUCUACGGCAGAGUGAUCAAAUCGAACUCCCUGGCAACGUUCAAGCGCCACUGCAGAAAAAAAACGUAAAAGUAUGUCAACCAGUGCUUAUAAAACGUCUCAUUAAUCUUAUUGUCGUUUGAGAAAAGCACAUAUGAUAAUAUAUCAGUUUUGAGUUUUUAUCAUCGGGGAAUUGUGCAUGUCUUAAUUGAUGCAGAGAGAUGCUAAUUUGUGUAAUAAAGGGGGUUAUAUAAUUAAUUGUGUUUGUGUGCUAUGCAGCACCUGGGGACAACAGCCAGCUGUAAAUAGAAGAGUCCUCCCUCUCCUUCCUUCC